GCUCAGUAACACGUGGAGAACGUGCCCUUAAGUGGGGGAUAAUCUCGGGAAAUUGAGGAUAAUACCCCAUAGAUCAUGAGAUCUGGAAUGACUCAUGGUUCAAAGUUCCGGCGCUUAAGGAUCGCUCUGCGGCCUAUCAGGUAGUAGUGGGUGUAAAGUACCCCCUAGCCUACGACGGGUAUGGGCCUUGAGAGAGGGAGCCCAGAGUUGGAUUCUGAGACACGAAUCCAGGCCCUACGGGGCGCAGCAGUCGCGAAAACUUCACACUGGGGGCAACCCCGAUGAGGGAAAUCCUAGUGCUAGGACAUUUGUUCUAGCUUUUCUCAAGCGUAGAUAACUUGAGGAAUAAGGGCUGGGUAAGACGGGUGCCAGCCGCCGCGGUAAUACCUGCAGCCCGAGUGGUGGUCGAUUUUAUUGAGUCUAAAGCGUUCGUAGCCGGUCCGUUAAAUCCUUGGGUAAAUCGGGAAGCUCAACUUUCCGACUUCCGAGGAGACUGGUGGACUUGGGACCGGGAGAGGCCAGAGGUACUUCUGGGGUAGGGGUAAAAUCCUGUAAUCCUAGAAGGACCACCGGUGGCGAAGGCGUCUGGCUAGAACGGAUCCGACGGUGAGGGACGAAGCCCUGGGUCGCAAACGGGAUUAGAUACCCCGGUAGUCCAGGGUGUAAACGCUGCCGACUUGGUGUUGGGGGCCCUUCGGGGGAACUCAGUGCCGGAGAGAAGUUGUUAAGUCGGCCACUUGGGGAGUACGUCCGCAAGGAUGAAACUUAAAGGAAUUGGCGGGGGAGCAC
rnacentral:rRNA from 1 species